UUUGGGUAAAAAUUAGUUAAUUUCAUUAAUUUUAAGUAGAUUGAGAUUAAUGGAUAGUUAAAUUGUUACCGGAAUAAAAUUAAAGAAUUUGAUUUGUUAUAUUUAAAAUUAUAGGGUUAAAUUUAUUUCUAUAAUCAAAACUUUGGAUUUUUCUUGUAAUAUUUCCUAAAAAAUAACUAAAUAUUUUGAAAUUAUUUUGUUCCCAUCAUAUUAAUCGUUUUGUGAUAGAUUCUUUUUAAGUUUAUAUAACUGUUUUGGUUUUUCUGUAAUUUUUUUUAUUAUUUGAUCAAAUUUUAAUAUUUUUAAAUUUUUUAUUGACCAAAGAAGCUCUAAAAUAUAAAAAAAGUCACUUAAUUUUGAGGAAAGAUCAUGAAAAUAAAUAAAUUUAGUGGUAUUUUUCGCAAAUUAUGUAAUUUUUUUAUAUUUUCAGAUUUUUCUCGUUAAAAAGAAUUGAAAAAAUUAAAAAUAUUGAUUAAACGAAAAAUAAAAAAAAACUAUGAGAAAAACCAUAAUUGAACAUUAAGACUGUGUUUACAUCAAGAUUUUUAUGAAAAAAAUAAAAUAAAAAUAAAAAAAUUAGAUGAUAUGACCGUUCAAGACUAUUGAAUUAUCUAUUUUUAUUUUAUUUUUCUUACCCAAUUCUUAAUAAAACACCGCGUAAAAGUCAUUUUUGGGCCAGGUAAAAAUAUGUUGUGAGGCGAAUCUUCGUGAAACAUUAAAACCCGAAGUUACAUACCAAAUGGGCUCCAUGCCUCCAUUCUCUGAGUAGAGAUAUACAUAACACGUAUGCAUCUAUUGACGUGGUAUGGCAUUCAACAUUUCAAGUGCACUCCAUGUGAAGUGUUCUUGAAAUAUAUAAAAUGACGUUAUUUUGUAUACUUUAGAAUUAAAACGACGUCGUUUUAUGAUUAAUUAAAAUAACGUCAUUGUGAUUCUGGAGUGUACAAAACGAUGUCACUUGUACACUCCAAAAAACACAACAACGUGGGGACAAUAGGAUGAUCGGAACUAUUGCUUUCACUUCAAAUUCUUAUAUGAUAGGCCAAGCAAGUACCCUUCUUAGGAAGCAUCUAGCAUGUUCCAUAUGUGUGUACAAUCUUAAUUGUCACCCAUGGCCCAUUCCCUUUGUAUAAUGUUAAAUGCAUAUAUAUAUAUAUAUAUAUAUAUAUAUUAUAUAUAUAUAACCCUGGCCCAUUAUGCCCAAUCUUAGAAAAUAUAUUAUUCGUAACGGGUAGCUAUUAUUUUUAUAUUUUUUUAAAAAAAAUAGAGAAAAAUAAAAACAAAGAAUGGUUUAGAUGCAUAGUGUAGGAUCUAUGCGUUUGGUUUGGAUUGAGAGCUCACUAGUUCGGCCCCGCAUAAGGUGGGCCAAAUCACAAGUAUUUUUUUGCGAAUAAUUGGGGGGGGAGUUGCUUGGAGAAUCGGAAUUGAGUUUGAGGAUUCUGCUUGCUAAUAAAUCUGCUAGAGUGUAAAAGGUUCAAUUCGAACAAUAAAAAAUUAAAAAAAAUUACGUUCAAAUUACUAAAGGCCCAUUACAUGUCCGAACUAGUGUAUGAAACUUUAAAUUUAAUUGUGUGAAUGGAAAAUGUCAUAUGUGCAUGAGGUGCAAAUACGUGAGGUGUGUGCAAGUCAUUUGUGUAUGAAUAAAGUUGUCCAACAAAUAUUGAACUUCAAUGUUUCUGAUAUUAUUUCAUGCACAAAUACGUGAGGUGUGUGUAAGUCAUUUGUGCAUGGGAAAGUUGUCCAACAAAUAUUGAACUUCAAUGUUUCUGAUAUUAUUUCCUAUUAGCCCACCUUCUUCGAUUUUUUGUUAUGUCAUGUUGCUGAUUUGAUAAGUUUUGUAAUUUCCCAAUUUUGUGUCUACACCUAUGUUAGACCAUCUCCAACCUUCCCCCAUUCCCCCAUUUUUUCCUCUAUUUCCCCAUUUAUUGAUGUCUAAUGAGUUCACCAUUUUUUUUCUCAUUUCUCCAUUCCCCCCUCCCCCUCCCAAAAUUUGGUGACAAAAAUAGGAAAAAAAGUUUCAUCUCCAAUGGCACUACCGUUUUUCCCUCAUUUCUCCAUUCCCACAUUUUUUUUCUAAAUUUGGUGACAAAAAUAGAGAUUUUUUUAUCUCCAAUGGCACCCCCAUUUCUUCCCCCAUUUCAGCAUUCCUCCAUUUUCUCCCCAAAUUUGGGAGAAUGAGAGAAGAAUUAAGAGAAUAUUUUUUUAUUGGUGUGUGCCCGUGAGAUAAAAAGAAUUUAAUUAAGAGAUAAAUUAAAUAUUUAAUUUGUAAUAUUGUCUAUUUUCUCUAUAUUAAUGUGAAAAUGACUAUUUAUUUAUAUUUUAUUUAUAUAUAUUAUUUAAUUUAUUUGAUUUUUUUCUUGUAUAUAUAUAUCUAGAUCAUAUGUAUCUCUUACUCACUUAAUCUUUUGAACAUAUUUUCUUUAAUGCCUUUAUGUUAGACAAUAAUAAUAGAAUGAAUUAACCAUACGAAUGUUAUCAUUAAACGAAAAUGAGAUACUAGCUUGUAAAUAAAAUUAACAACCACUUAAUUUACUACUAUAAUAAUGUAAAUACAAAAUAAAAAAAAUUAGCCAAACACACUUAAAAUAGAAGAGUCAUACUAAGAAAUACAUAAAAAUUUAAUCACUGUUAAAAUUAGAAAAUUCUUUAUUUCCUUGAUAAUAACUUCGUCGUUAAUAAAUUCACCACGAUAUACACGUCUUUCAUGCUUUCUUUCCCCCUCUUCCCUACCUCCCUACAUCUAACAUCUAAGUUUCUUGCUACUCUUGGCAUGUCUGCAUUGCGAAUGAUGGUUUUUUUCUUUCGAGCCCAAAAUUAUUUGCUAAAUGGUGUGAGAUUACUCAAAUCCUUAUUCAUAAUCUCAAUGUCUUUCUCUGCAGCCCUCAUCUCCAUCUCUUGUUGUCUUAGGGCUAAAUUUUUCUGCUUAUAUUCCAACUUGCGUUGCUCAAGUUCUGCCAACAUAUUUGCUCGCGCUUCUUUGCUCUGAAUGAUAGCAAAGUUGUCUACACAUUGCUUUUCCAUUAUCUCUUGGCUCUUGGCAAAAUUAUUCAUCGUUUUUUGCCACAUCUGAUCCUUUUUAUUGGCGAUUCUACGCCUUGUCUUCGCUGCAUUUCUUCCCGUGAGCCUUCCCUCUGAACCUGACAUAAGUCCAUAUUGAUGAACAACUUCAACAUCAUUAGAGUCUUGUGAAUUGAGAGUAUUACCUUCGAGGUGAGAGUUCAGAUCAUCUACAUGGAUAGAUUGGGGUAGGGAUUCAUUCUAUUUUUCGUGAUACUUUAAAAUGUCUCAAGCAUGGUUGAACCUAAAAGUUUGAUGUUUGGGAUCUUUAAUGAUAUAAAGAUUUUUAGCAUCUUUGAUCUGAAAUUAAAAAAACAAUCAUGAGGAUUCUUAACAACUUAAUGUUAUUAAUUAUUGACAAAUACCAUUUUUUAAUAUACUUAUUGUGUUCACUUCAUUACUCCCACUCUCGUAAUGAAAUUCUGCUUGAGUGAUACACGCCUAGAAUAAUGUGCAUGACAAAUAUAUUAUUUCCCAACGAGCAUAUAAGGACUUAACGUUUCUACGCUCUAAUCUUCGUGCAUCCACAGUUUUAUGGUUGUAUGAAGACUCGAUUUUUGUCAACAAAUCUUUUUUUCUUUGAUAUGUCCCAAUCUCACUAUCAGUUGAAUAAAGUAUGUAUACAUUGCAGAUAAUUACAUUCUUAAGGCUUUUGAACCAGGCCCAUUUGAGUCAUUGUGCUAUGAAAAUAGCAUCUGAAAUUCAUACUAUUAAUAUAGAAUAAUUAAGUGGAUAAAAGAUAUGUGCCUUCUUUCUAUUAGAUACGUAUAUUACAUGGAUGGAUUUCUUAUCUGCAUAAGGUAAUUGUGACGUAAGCGCUUAUGUCAUGUAAAAUCCAUAUUAUUAAUAGAUAACAAUAAAGUGGAUAAGAGACAUGUGUCUUUUUUCUAUUAAACACGUAUAUUAUAUGGGUGAGUUUCUUAUCUGGAUAAGAUAAUCGAUGACGCGAUCGCUUAUGUCAUCUGAAAUCCAUACUAAUAAUAGAUAAUAAUGAAGUGGAUAAGAGACACGUUUUUUUCCAAUUAGACACGUUAUAUUACAUGGUUAGAUUUCUUGUCCGAAUAAAGUUAUCUUUUUUCCCACAAAUAAGUGAAAUAUUUGAAGUUAAUUAUGUUUUAUGCUACAAUAAUUUUUAAAAAAUAAUUAGUCAUUAUUUUUAACAUCAAAUAGAAAUAAUUUUUUUUAAAUUUAUUUUAUUAACAAGAAUUUCUAAAAUAAAUACUCAUUAUUUUUUCAAAUCCCUCCCUGACCACCUUUCUCCACAUCGAACUUACCCCUCCCGCCAUUGGAGACCAAAACCAUUUUGUUAUUCAAAUUCAAAAAAAGAGAAAAAUGGGAGAAUACCAUUGAAGACUAAAAUGAGGCAAAAAUGGGAGAAUGGAGGAAACCAUUGGAAACCAACCUUUUUUUUUUUUUAAAUUCAAAAAAUGGGAGAAAGAAAAAAACUAUUGGAGACCAAAAUAUUUUUGCCCCAUUUUUUUCUACAAAAAAUGAAGGAAUGGAGAAAAAAUAGAGGAAAAACAAUAUUAUGGUUGGAGAUGGUCUUAGAAAAGAACACUUGCUAUUUUGAUAAUAAGGUGUGAAGGAGCAAUCAAUAAUUCUGUUUUAUUGUGCUCACUUAUGGAAAGUGAUUAAUUAUGUUAGUUAGGUCAACAUAUAUUAAAGGUAAAUAUGGGUAAAAUUGUUGACCUAUAAAUACUUGAAAUAAAUAAAAUUUUUGUCAACAGCCCAUUUGGGAUAAGUUUUUUUGUGGUUUUAGGAUAAAAUAAUCUUUUUUUUUAUGUCUAUAUAAGAUGAGUUUAUAGGAGUUUAUUAACAAACAUAACUCAAAUUUUUAGCUACCCGAACGCCAAAAGUGAUUUUUUGUCAUACUUUAUCUUUUUAAUCUAAAAUUAAAAAAAAAUUAAAAAACAAGCAUAAAGGUAAAAAUUUUAGAAAAAAAAUUUAAAUUUCAAUUUAAUUUAAGGGGUGUUUAGCUAAUUGGUUAGGUAUUGCAAUUGAGCUUUUUUAUACUCACUAGCUAACAAAGUAGUUAGCAAACUAAAAUAGGUCAUACUUUUGUAUAUGUAGAUAAUUUAACACAUAUAAAUUUAACUUUUUAAUGGAUAUGCUCUUAUAAUCAUGUCCGUCAUACUCAUUUAUUAAAUUAUAACACAAUACUAAAUCGACACAAAUCAAUAUCCAUUCAGUAUUAUUUUAUAACUUAAUAAUGAGUGUGACACACAAAUUAUACUCACUUCUUUUGAUAUAAAUUGAUAUCGAUUGACUACUAAUGUGUAUCUAAUCAAAGUAAUUUUUGAAGUAUUAAACUUUUCGAUGGAGUCUACAAUUUAAAUAAUUUAAAUUAUUAAAAUAGGAUCGAAAUAGGGCCCAAGAUGUUUAAACGACACUGUGCAGUCCAAAAAAUAGACCGCAGAAAAGCUGUGUCUUACAUUAAAAUCCAAAAGUUCGAACUUUAUAGGAAAACUAUAUACCAUACUUUUUUUUUUUGGUUAAGUAUUUUUUUAUACCUUAUCUUGCUUGCUUUGUGACAAGGGCGUUACAAAAAGGACUUGCGUUCCAACUUUAUGCUUUUCGAAUGACUUUCGAAUCCAACGGCUAGAUUUGUACCAAAGUCAUCCAACGACCGGCAUUUCAGUCACCCGGUAUCGACUACCCGUAUUUAGGGGUGUCCAAAAAAAUCCAAAAACUUGUGAACCGGACCAAACCGAACCGUGCCUUUUGGAUUUGUUCUAUGAUUUAAUGGUUAUGUUCUAGUUUUUAAAAAUUAAGAACCGGUAAAUUUGAAUUCGCGUUGCAGUUUUUUUUAAACAAAUGUGGUUCGAAACGGAUUGGAACCGAUUAUAUAUUAUAUGUAUAUAUAUAUUAUAUAUAUUAUAUAUAUAUAUGCGUACAAUAUUUAUCAGAAUAUAACACCAACACCGUAAUUCACAUUACGAGUGAUACUUUGGUUUUUUUCCAAUAAAAUAUUUCAACUCAUGGAUAUUAGGAUAACUCCAUCCCAUCUCAUCAAAACCCUUCCACCUUCUUUCUCUAUCCAAGAUUUAUCAAGAUUUUCUUUUAUUACCAUUAUGAAUUCUUUUUUAUUCUUCGUUUAUUCUUGUUUGUGUUUUCCAUUAUGAAUUCUAAAAUUUUACGAGUUGUUAAUGCUAUUUUAGAGUUGGUUGAUGUAAUAUUUUAUGAACUAUUUGUACUUAAUUUUAAUUAAUGACUGAAGUAUGAAUGAAUUAUGUGUUGUUUAAAUGAAUAACUUUUUUGCAAUUUAUAUUUUAUAAAAAUAUUUUAGAAUUUAAUGGGGGUUGAACCGGAAUCGAACGGAACUGAACGCGUACAGCGGAAUUGGUUUAGUUGGGUUUCUCUACUUGUAAUGGUAGGUUCCAUUUUAUUUUUUUAGACCGUUAAAAAUGGAUUGAUUACUUGAUUCUUAUAAGAUCGGAUCAAAUCCGGACAUAGACAACUCUACCCGUAUUACAUUAUUAUGGCGGGAAACCAUUGUUUGCCUGAAAAAUAUUUAUUUCUUUUAUUAAGAGAUUUUUUUUAAUGAUUUCAUAAUUUACUAAUUUUUAAAAUUGCAGAUCAUUCCCUUACUUUUUGAAAUAUUAGAGACCAGCCCUUUGAUUAAGCUAUAUUUGCAACUCCACUUGUUAGAGCUAAUUUGGUUAUACCAAAACUAUUUUUUAACUAGUUACAACGUUAAAAGUCCAAACAAGGCGAUUUUUAUCUGCCAAUGCAAUGUUAUUUUACCCAAAUCAACUUUCGUAACUUAGAAAUGGCAAAACUAUAACUUGUCUAUUCUAUCUUGGCCUAUCUUGGAAAUAUUGAGAAGUUUAGUAGCAAAAUUUAUUGAUCCUAUAAAGGUAAAUUUAUUUGAAAUCUACAAACAAGCAAUAAUACACCCCAUAGAAUAAAUGAUAUUAAACAAUUCCACUAGGAUAUGUGUCCCCAAAUUAUUAUUGGUGUUCUAACACUGAAAACACAUUGAGAUCCCACGAGAAUCUCUAAGUCAAGUUAUGUAAACUUAGUCUCAUUCCCCCCCCACACCCCCCCCACCCUCCCACCCCCCCCCCCCCCCUCUCCCCCCCCCCCCCCCCCCACUCCCCCCCCACCCCUUUUCCCCCCCAUUUGUCAUCCCAGAAGUUCCAUAAAGAUCUUUCAGAUAUCAAUUAUAUAUGCAUUGAGCACAAAAUGUGUGAACGAGUCUCAAAGCCUGAGCGAAUCAUACCCAAUAUAUGGAGUGCGGUUUUAGGCCAUCUCCAAUGGUUCCCCAUUUCCCCAUUUUUGAUCCAAUUUUUCUAUUUUUUUAUCUUCAACUAUUCCCCCAUUUUUUCCUCAAAAUAAAUGGGGGAAAAAUUUUCAUCUCCAACCAUUCCCCCAUUUCUUUCCCCAAAUUUGGGACAAAAAUGAAAAAAAAACUUUAUCUCCAACCAUUCCUUGUUUUUUUUU
rnacentral:lncRNA from 1 species